rnacentral:rRNA from 1 species
CCUACGGGUGGCAGCAGUGGGGAAUAUUGGGUAAUGGGCGCAAGCCUGACCCAGCAACGCCGCGUGAAGGAAGAAGGCUUUCGGGUUGUAAACUUCUUUUCUCAGGGACGAAGCAAGUGACGGUACCUGACGAAUAAGCCACGGCUAACUACGUGCCAGCCGCCGCGGUAAUACGUAGGUGGCAAGCGUUAUCCGGAUUUACUGGGUGUAAAGGGCGUGUAGGCGGGAAAGCAAGUCAGAUGUGAAAGCCAUGGGCUCAACCUGUGGCCUGCAUUUGAAACUGUUUUUCUUGAGUACUGGAGAGGCAGACGGAAGUCCUAGUGUAGCGGUGAAAUGCGUAGAUAUUAGGAGGAACACCAGUGGCGAAGGCGGUCUGCUGGACAGCAACUGACGCUGAGGCGCGAAGGCGUGGGGAGCAAACAGGAUUAGAUACCCUGGUAGUC